AGUCGUAACAAGGUUUCCGUAGGUGAACCUGCGGAAGGAUCAUUAUUGAAAAUUACUGGUGAGGGUUGUAGCUGGCCUUUCGGGGCAUGUGCACACCUGAGCCUUUAAUCCACACACACCUGUGAACCUAAUGUAAGGGCCCGAUAAAAAAGGCCCUUACGUCUUAUCAUCAACCCCAUGUGUAAUAGAAUGUAAAUCAAUGUCCUCGCCUUAAAAAGCGUUGAUAAAAAAACUUAUACAACUUUCAACAACGGAUCUCUUGGCUCUCGCAUCGAUGAAGAACGCAGCGAAAUGCGAUAAGUAAUGUGAAUUGCAGAUUUUCAGUGAAUCAUCGAAUCUUUGAACGCACCUUGCGCUCCUUGGUAUUCCGAGGAGCAUGCCUGCUUGAGUGUCAUUAAAUUCUCAACUCCCUGAUUGAUUUCUCGGAGCUUGGACUUGGAGCGUGCUGGCGAAGGUCGGCUCCUCUGAAAUGCAUCAGCGGAAUUCAAUCUUUGGCUUCUGGAUGUCAGUGUGAUAAUGAUGUUGCGCUGUCGUCGGAGGCUCAAAGUCCGCUUACAAUGGUCUUUGGACAACUUUAUAUCAAAUUUGACCUCAAAUCAGGUAGGACUACCCGCUGAACUUAAGCAUAUCAAUAAGCGGAGGAAAAGAAACUAACAAGGAUUCCCCUAGUAACUGCGAGUGAAGCGGGAAAAGCUCAAAUUUAAAAUCUGGCGGUCUAUGGCCGUCNGAGUUGUAAUCUGGAGAAGCGUUUUCCGCGUUGGACCGUGUACAAGUCUUCUGGAAGGGAGCGUCGUAGAGGGUGAGAAUCCCGUCUUUGACACGGACUACCAAUGCUUUUGUGAUGCGCUCUCGAAGAGUCGAGUUGUUUGGGAAUGCAGCUCAAAAUGGGUGGUAAAUUCCAUCUAAAGCUAAAUAUUGGCGAGAGACCGAUAGCGAACAAGUACCGUGAGGGAAAGAUGAAAAGCACUUUGGAAAGAGAGUUAAACAGUACGUGAAAUUGUUGAAAGGGAAACGUUUGAAGUCAGUCGCGUCGGCCGAGACUCAGCCUUUGCAUUUUUGCUUGGUGCACUUCUCGGGUUGACGGGUCAGCAUCAAUUUUGACCGCCGGAUAAAGGUCGGGGGAAUGUGGCAUCUCUCGGGAUGUGUUAUAGCCCUCGGUUCGGAUACGGCGAUUGGGAUUGAGGAACUCAGCGCGCCUUUAUGGUCGGGGUAUCAACCCACGUAACGCGCUUAGGAUGCUGGCAUAAUGGCUUUAAGCGACC
rnacentral:rRNA from 1 species